rnacentral:tRNA from 1 species
CAGUAGUUCAGUUGGUAGAGCAUCGGUCUCCAAAACCGAGGGUCGUGGGUUCGAGUCCUACCUG